GAAUAUUGGACAAUGGGGGCAACCCUGAUCCAGCGACGCCGCGUGGGUGAAGAAGGCCUGCGGGUUGUAAAGCCCUUUCGGUGGGGAAGAAAAGCCUCGACCUAAUACGUCGGGGUCUUGACGUAACCCACAAAAGAAGCACCGGCUAACUCUGUGCCAGCCGCCGCGGUAAUACAGAGGGUGCGGGCGUUAAUCGGAAUUCCUGGGCGUAAAGCGCACGUAGGCGGCUCUGCAAGUCGGGUGUGAAAUCCCCGGGCUCAACCUGGGAACUGCAUUCGAUACUGCAUUGCUAGAGUAUGGGAGAGGGAAGUGGAAUUUCCGGUGUAGCGGUGAAAUGCGUAGAUAUCGGAAGGAACACCAGUGGCGAAAGCGACUUCCUGGACCAAUACUGACGCUCAGGUGCGAAAGCGUGGGGAGCAAACAGGA
rnacentral:rRNA from 1 species